AUUGAACGCUGGCGGCAUGCCUUACACAUGCAAGUCGAACGGCAGCACGGGUGCUUGCACCUGGUGGCGAGUGGCGAACGGGUGAGUAAUACAUCGGAACGUACCUUAUCGUGGGGGAUAACGCAGCGAAAGUUGCGCUAAUACCGCAUACGCCCUGAGGGGGAAAGCGGGGGACCGUAAGGCCUCGCGCGAUUAGAGCGGCCGAUGUCUGAUUAGCUUGUUGGUGAGGUAAAAGCUCACCAAGGCGAUGAUCAGUAGCUGGUCUGAGAGGACGAUCAGCCACACUGGGACUGAGACACGGCCCAGACUCCUACGGGAGGCAGCAGUGGGGAAUUUUGGACAAUGGGGGCAACCCUGAUCCAGCAAUGCCGCGUGAGUGAAGAAGGCCUUCGGGUUGUAAAGCUCUUUUGUCAGGGAAGAAACAGCAGCUCUAACACAGUCUGCGAAUGACGGUACCUGAAGAAUAAGCACCGGCUAACUACGUGCCAGCCGCCGCCGUAA
rnacentral:rRNA from 1 species